CUUAUCGGCUUACCGAAAUCAGCCAAACUCCGAAUGCUGGCAAGUGUAGCGUGGCAGUGAGACGGCGGGGGAUAAGCUUCGUCGUCGAGAGGGAAACAGCCCAGAUCAUCAGCUAAGGCCCCUAAGUGGUGACUCAGUGGGAAAGGAUGUGGAGUUGCGUAGACAACCAGGAGGUUGGCUUGGAAGCAGCCAUCCUUGAAA
rnacentral:rRNA from 1 species